CUACACUAUUGGCCCGCAAGAUCUCCAGACAUUACACCCUGGGACUUUUUUCUUGUGUGAUACGUCAAAGAAUGUGUUUUUGUGCAAUUUUUACGACUAAUCUUGAUGAGCUCAAAAAAACAGAAUCACGGCAAUGUGACUUCAUUGAAAGAAGUCACUUUGAGAGCCGUUUGGGAUGACAAAGUACGGUCAACAUCAGCUGGAG